rnacentral:tRNA from 1 species
UAGCUCAGUCAGUUAGAGUGUGAUGCUGAUAACACCAAGGCCGCGGGUUCAAUGCCCGC